GUCAUGUUGUAAAUUAUUGUCACCAAGCCAGAUGUGGUUCGUUGUUGUCAAGUACCUUAUUCGCCUUUCUCCUAUUUCAGAACCCAUUCAAUAUGCCAUAGCUAUUUGUCUCUUUCCUACUCUUACGAUAUCGAUCACUGAUUGGUGAUCGCCGUUUUCUCCUCAAACCAAAAUGCUUCAAGUGUCUCCAGUAGUUUACAUGUUUCAAGAAAAGUUUCAAUAAAGCAGAUCGUUGUCAACCGUCAACAGUGAAGGUUCUAUUUUUCUAAAUAUCACUUCACGGGAAAUUGUGCAUGGACUUCACAUGGCUACCAGUGACUAGGAGCAAAUAUUUAGCCUUCUCCAUUUUUACGAGUUGGAAAAUCUGUGUAAAGUGCCUGUUACACAACUAAUAAACACUUAAAGUGAUGUGAUCGCAGUCUUCCAAUACUUCUGGAGAUCCCAAAAUGUUAACACAAAACCAACUAGAAGUGCACGAAAAUCUGCCAAAAGUUUAGUGCCUGAUAUAACCAGAUAAACUGUUCAAGUGCAAGUGAUGGGGAAACCACAAUCAAAGUCUUCCAGCAUUUCUGGAGACCCCCAAGUGCAAAUACAAAACCAACUGGAAGUGCAUGAGGAACUACAUAACGAGCACGAGUUCAAAUUAACAAUUAUACUAGUGAUAGUAAGCAUCCAUCUCGCUAUUACUGUUUACAAGCUCUAUAAAGAGCACACUCGCACUCAAGCUCUAAAAGCAGCCAAAACUGUUGCUGAUCUUACCAGCGUGGGAAUUUGAAUCGUGAAAAACCAAAGUUAAAUAAUCGAGAACAGUGACUUCUCAGCAACAUGGAGCAGCCCACAAUUGGCUAACCGGCAACAUGGAGCGGCCUACAAUUGGCUAACCGGCAACAUGGAGCGGCCACAGGAGGGUUUUGAAGUAACUCAGGAUGUGCAUCGCUGCAAAGUAAAACCGAAGAUUCGUCAGCAGAAAGUAAAUUAGAUAAAUAUUAACCUCAGCGGGCGGAUCGUUUCGGCACACAGACGGCAAAUCAAGAUCCCUAAGGACUCUCGCCGAAGACGAUCGCAACGCUUUGUUUUUAGUGGAGAGAGUCCCAGCAUCUCAGCACAACUUUGCAAUAGCAACAACAGUAGUUUUGAAGAAGGAACCUAUGGCGGUUCCGAAAGUCACAGCAUGAAGAGGAAGAGAAGUGAAGAAGAUGAUACAGAUUCGGACUUUUACGGCUUUGCGGCCGAUUCCCUUUUGUUCGAAGAGGAUCAGGAUCCUCUAUGGAAUCCUUUGCCUUCUCGAGAUGGAGAGGGGCUUGGAUACACCCAAACCGUUGGUACCUCAGCUAGCCAGGCCAGCGAGAGCGCGCUUGUUCCGGAAGGGAAUGUGAAUUGUAGACGUAGUAAGAGAAAAACGCAGGAGGAAAGUAGAUUAUGAGUAUUAUUAGUUUAAGCAAACUAUCGAACUAUAGAAUGGUCGACAUUUGAACUGCAUUUUCUUUAGUUUAAUUCAGUGUGGAUUUUCCAAUAUGCAAACAUGAAUGAAGAAGUUUGCUUUCUGAUUUUAAUUAUUUUAGUAAUCUUCAAGUUUUGAUAUAGAUGCUCAGCAUUUUCAGAAAUAGAUAAGCUUUUACUUAAGCGGGAAGGAGUUGUAAUGACUAAGCGAAAGAUUACUGUUCGGUAAAUUGGAAGAAUCCAUCCAGUAGGGUUCUCAGAAUAUUGUUGUAUCGUGAGAGUAUUGAGUGGAGCAGGGCUCUUGUGCUUGAGCGCUGAUGAUAAUAAAAUGAGAAUU